CAUUGCACUUGAAAUAGUAUGAAUGCUAUAAAAGUUGUGCCUUACCUUAUAACAAAGAAUCAUUCCUCCCUCUAUCCACCGUGUCUCUCUCUCUCUCUUGGAAGAAUAAAUUGCUAUAUGGUUCAAGAAUUCUUCACUGUAUAAAAUUAAAUGAGCAAAUUUAAAUUGAAUGAAACUUUAAAAGACUGAAAAGGGAUUCCCAGUAGCAUAUGGACAGCCAUGAAACAAAGACAGCUGUAGCCACCGUUUUGGAUGACUUCCUUGUGACAUUUGGCAGAGAACAUCAGUUUCCCAAACAAGCAUUCAGAGACCUGAAUGACCCUACUGGAUGUGAUGGGUGGGAGUUGUAGUCCAGCACAUCUGGAAAAUGCCAGAUGGAAGACUGACAGGUGUUCAUACAGAUUGAGGACAUUGAGGAGCUUUCUGCCGUGAUCACGAGAGCAGAAAUUGGGGCCAGAGAAACCCCCCUAUAGCCUUAUCCAAUAUUGUUCCUUCACAAAAGCCUGCUUGAAAAAAAUCUGCAAAACUGAGUCUCUAGUUUCCUCUCAUUAAUUGGGUGUCUGUUGCGUUUGGGUGGGAAGGAAGGAGGUUCUACGGUGAUCAAGCAACAUGGCCAGGCAAAACAUAUUAAAAUGGAUAAAGGGAUUUUCUAGUGGUAUAAAUACCUGCACACGACUCCCUGUGCACCAUAACCCAUGUGAUGUAUAUAUGCAAGUGAAGAAAACUGGCCAUUGAGCUUGAACUGCUGUGAACUGCAACUGAUAGUUGGGAGAGAAAGCAAAU
rnacentral:lncRNA from 1 species